rnacentral:rRNA from 1 species
GAUGAACGCUGGCGGCGUGCUUAACACAUGCAAGUCGAACGGAAAGGCCCAAGCUUGCUUGGGUACUCGAGUGGCGAACGGGUGAGUAACACGUGGGUGAUCUGCCCUGCACUUCGGGAUAAGCCUGGGAAACUGGGUCUAAUACCGGAUAGGACCACAUUUUGGAUGGUGUGGUGGAAAGUUUUUCGGUGUGGGAUGAGCUCGCGGCCUAUCAGCUUGUUGGUGGGGUAAUGGCCUACCAAGGCGUCGACGGGUAGCCGGCCUGAGAGGGUGUACGGCGACAUUGGGACUGAGAUACGGCACAGACGCCUACGGGAGGCAGCAGUGGGGAAUAUUGCACAAUGGGCGCAAGCCGGAUGCAGCGACGCCGCGUGGGGGAUGACGGCCUUCGGGUUGUAAACUCCUUUCGCUAGGGACGAAGCGUUAUGUGACGGUACCUGGAGAAGAAGCACCGGCUAACUACGUG